rnacentral:lncRNA from 1 species
AUUUCCGUGUUUUGCAAUUCCGUUUCUUUAAAAAUUUUAAAUGAUUGAUAAUUUAUCGCCCUUUGAAUCGACACGCCAUUUGUAAACAUCGAAGGUUGCGGAGAAAAUGAAUCUACCAAAAACAGUUAUUUGAUGAUUUAUUUCGAUUGUAUAAAGAAUGACAGUUAACGAAUGUCAAGAUCAACCACUGAGGAUUGUUUGGCUUGAUGCAAUGACCUUAAACAGUUAAAGGAUUUUCCAGGAAGGUUUAUACACCACAAGCUGGAUUCUUUUGGGUGAUGAAAGAACUAUGAAUAUGUGAAUGGGAAUGAAACAGAAGGAAUUAAUAUGUUCU